ensembl:lncRNA
CUGCAAUAGCCUUCCUGAUAAUGUUCGAACGAACACGGGCACACUGCUUUCGUGGUAAAAGCAGUCUGUGUCUGUGAGCGCAACCAUAGUGACACACACACAAAUUUGAAUCUGCUCCACACUAUUUAGGAGGAUAGAGCCACUCAAUGUAAAGAGGGAUUGAUUUUUACGUGUGAGACACGGAUCAAAGCGCAGCGGGGAGAGCGUGUACGCAGGCUCUGUGUUGGCGUAAGAUCGCUCAGACCCAAGUGCUUAGUUCCCAAGCUUCGCCAUUUCUCUCUUCCGAGACUAGCUGAGAAAGGAGAACGUGAGAGCGGGGCUGUUCAGUGAAAAGCGGUCCACGAGUGGAGAAGAGAGAGACUCUGCUCGAGUGAGCAUUCUGUCUCAGUAAGCACGCAGCUCACUGCCCUUCUGUGGCAGAUCCAAGUGCAAUGGAGAGAGAGCAUGCAGGCACAAUGCCAGCAUGAGAUCAGUCAGACUGAUUGCUUAUUUCCUGACUCCACUGUUUAUCUAUCUGAGGCUCGCUGAGAGAGGAGAAACGGUCGGGCGAGGCUGUUUUCUGUGAAAGACGGUCCGCGAAUGGGAAAGAGCGAGAUUCAUGCUCUAGAGAGCAUUUCAUCUCAAAAAAGACAAUCAUGUCCUGCUGCUGAUGUCUGAAUAUCCAGUCUGUCUUCAUCAUGAAAUGAUGAGCCCAUCAUCAGCACCAUUCUGGAGUAUGUGUGUUGUGUUAGACAGGGUGUUUCGUGACCCCCAAGGGUCACCGUAGCCACCAGAUCCAGUCUGUAUCCAAGUCAGAGGGUCACUGCAGUCACCCGGAUCCAGUACGUAUCCAGACCAGAUGGUGGAUCAGCACCUAGAAAGGACCUCUACAGCCCUGAAAGACAGCUGAGACCAGGACAACUAGAGCCCCAGAGACAGAUCCCCUGUAAAGACCUUGUCUCAGACGAUUCUUCUGCACAAUCUGACUUUGCUGCAGCCUGGAAUUGAACUGUUGGUUUCGUCUGGUCAGAGGAGAACUG